rnacentral:rRNA from 1 species
CGAAGGGUGCAAGCGUUACUCGGAAUUACUGGGCGUAAAGCGUGCGUAGGUGGUGAGUUAAGUCUGUCGUGAAAGCCCCGGGCUCAACCUGGGAAUGGCGAUGGAUACUGGCUCGCUAGAGUGCGGUAGAGGGUGGUGGAAUUCCCGGUGUAGCAGUGAAAUGCGUAGAGAUCGGGAGGAACAUCAGUUGCGAAGGCGGACCACCUGGACCAGCACUGACACUGAGGCACGAAAGCGUGGGGAGCAAACAGGAUUAGAUACCCUGGUAGUCCACGCCCUAAACGAUGCGAACUGGACGUUGGGAGCAACUAGGCUCUCAGUGUCGAAGCUAACGCGUUAAGUUCGCCGCCUGGGGAGUACGGUCGCAAGACUG